UACAGAGGGUGCAAACGUUGCUCGGAAUUACUGAACGUAAAGCACGUGUAGGCGGUUCGUUAAGUCGUCUGUGAAAUCCCACGGCUCAACCAUGGAAGUGCAGACGAUACUGGCAAACUCGAGUCCUGGAGAGGGUGGCGGAAUUCCCAGUGUAGAGGUGAAAUUCGUAGAUAUUGGGAGGAACACCGGUGGCGAAGGCGGCCACCUGGACAGGUACUGACGCUGAGACGCGAAAGCGUGGGUAGCAAACAGG
rnacentral:rRNA from 1 species